rnacentral:rRNA from 1 species
AGCGUAGGUGGGCUGGUAAGUCAGUGGUGAAAUCUCCGGGCUUAACUCGGAAACUGCCGUUGAUACUAUCAGUCUUGAAUGUUGUGGAGGUAAGCGGAAUAUGUCAUGUAGCGGUGAAGUGCUUAGAUAUGACAUAGAACACCAAUAGCGAAGGCAGCUUGCUACACAAUUAUUGACACUGAGGCUCGAAAGCGUGGGGAUCAAACA